UCCUCUCUUCUAGAUCGGGCGCAGCCGCCAUAGGAGAGCAUGGGCUCGAACUGAGUGAGGAAGAGGUGGUUUGCGGCCACGCGGGUGAGGAGGGCGGUCUUCCGCUGAACGCCACCGUCCUCUCCUCGCGCGCCCUCGCGGCCAGAAGAGGCAGAUAUGUACGGAGGAUCCACGAGCUUGGUGCCAUCCGUCCUGUCCGUCGACGCCCACCCCUUCUUCCCCAACGCGUAGGUGCUCUAUUCACUUGCGUCUUUGCUGCCUCAAGUGUGCGGAUGCGACCACCAGCUGUUUGUAUAAAUGCUCAAGGAGGACUGCUCUGGGGAGGACAACACGUGUGUUUGAAAGAGGGGGAUGGAAAAGAGGGGGCUGGAGUGAGAGGAGAAGAGGAAGAAAUUGAACCACAUGUUAUUUCUUUGUCAUCGACGUCAUCCCACCAUUGUAGAGAUUUUCUUGGAUGACAUGCGGCCCAUACUCUCGCCCCUUGUUCUCCAUCUCUGUUGGUACCCUUUCAUGGUUUCUUGUCCACUUCUUUCAUGAUUUAUUCUUUUCAAAUAGUAAUUCAGGUUGUUAUACUAAUUUGAUUGAUGUGGGUGGUGUAAUAAUUCAGGUCGUGUAGGAUGGUCUGCUAAUUUCCCUGAUGCUUCAUCAGGUUUUGGAAGAAUCGGGCUAAGGGGUGAUUGUGCUCAGGUUUUGAUGCAGUGAGAUUCAGAUAAUUUUAAGAAACACAUGCAAAGGAGUCCAAA